rnacentral:rRNA from 1 species
AGAUAGCCAUGCAUGUCUAAGUAUAAGCAUUAUACAGCGAAACUGCGAAUGGCUCAUUAUAUAAGUUAUCGUUUAUUUGAUAGUACCUUACUACUUGGAUAACCGUGGUAAUUCUAGAGCUAAUACAUGCUAAAAAUCCCGACUUCGGAAGGGAUGUAUUUAUUAGAUUAAAAACCAAUGCCCUCUGGGCUCCUUGGUGAUUCAUAAUAACUUUUCGAAUCGCAUGGCCUUGCGCCGGCGAUGGUUCAUUCAAAUUUCUUCCCUAUCAACUUUCGAUGUUUGGGUAUUGGCCAAACAUGGUCGCAACGGGUAACGGAGGGUUAGGGCUCGACCCCGGAGAAGGAGCCUGAGAAACGGCUACUACAUCCAAGGAAGGCAGCAGGCGCGCAAAUUACCCAAUCCCGAUUCGGGGAGGUAGUGACAAUAAAUACUGAUACAGGGCUCUUUUGGGUCUUGUAAUUGGAAUGAGUACAAUUUAAAUCCCUUAACGAGGAACAAUUGGAGGGCAAGUCUGGUGCCAGCAGCCGCGGUAAUUCCAGCUCCAAUAGCGUAUAUUAAAGUUGUUGUGGUUAAAAAGCUCGUAGUUGAACCUUGGGCCUGGCUGGCCGGUCCGCCUCACCGCGUGUACUGGUCCGGCCGGGCCUUUCCCUCUGUGGAACCUCAUGCCCUUCACUGGGUGUGGCGGGGAAACAGGACUUUUACUUUGAAAAAAUUAGAGUGCUCCAGGCAGGCCUAUGCUCGAAUACAUUAGCAUGGAAUAAUGAAAUAGGACGUGUGGUUCUAUUUUGUUGGUUUCUAGGACCGCCGUAAUGAUUAAUAGGGACAGUCGGGGGCAUCAGUAUUCAAUUGUCAGAGGUGAAAUUCUUGGAUUUAUUGAAGACUAACUACUGCGAAAGCAUUUGCCAAGGAUGUUUUCAUUAAUCAGGAACGAAAGUUAGGGGAUCGAAGACGAUCAGAUACCGUCGUAGUCUUAACCAUAAACUAUGCCGACUAGGGAUCGGACGAUGUUAUUUUUUGACGCGUUCGGCACCUUACGAGAAAUCAAAGUGCUUGGGCUCCAGGGG